GAUGAACGCUGGCGGCGUGCCUAAUACAUGCAAGUCGAGCGAACGGACGAGAAGCUUGCUUCUCUGAUGUUAGCGGCGGACGGGUGAGUAACACGUGGAUAACCUACCUAUAAGACUGGGAUAACUUCGGGAAACCGGAGCUAAUACCGGAUAAUAUUUUGAACCGCAUGGUUCAAAAGUGAAAGACGGUCUUGCUGUCACUUAUCGAUGGAUCCGCGCUGCAUUAGCUAGUUGGUAAGGUAACGGCUUACCAAGGCAACGAUGCAUAGCCGACCUGAGAGGGUGAUCGGCCACACUGGGACUGAGACACGGUCCAGACUCCUACGGGAGGCAGCAGUAGGGAAUUUUGCGCAAUGGGCGAAAGCCUGAUCCAGCAACGCCGCGUGAGGGAUGAAGGCCUUCGGAUCGUAAACCGCUGUUAUUAGGGAAGAAAACAUGUGGAAGUAAACGCGCAGAGGAUGACGGUACCUAAUCAGAAAGCAACGGCUAACUACGUG
rnacentral:rRNA from 1 species